rnacentral:misc_RNA from 1 species
GAUGAAGAACGUAGCGAAAUGCGAUAAGUAAUGUGAAUUGCAGAAUUCCGUGAAUCAUCGAAUCUUUGAACGCACAUUGCGCCCCCUGGUAUUCCGGGGGGCAUGCCUGUCCGAGCGUCAUUGCAACCCUCAAGCGCGGCUUGUGUGUUGGGCCCUCGUCCCCCGUGGACGUGCCCGAAAUGCAGUGGCGGCGUCGUGUUCCGGUGCCCGAGCGUAUGGGGCUUUGUCACCCGCUCUUGAGGCCCGACCGGCUCCGGCCCAUCAACCAUCGAGGACCCGUUCCUCAACCAGGUUGACCUCGGAUCAGGUAGGGAUACCCGCUGAACUUAAGCAUAUCAAUAAGCGGAGGA